AUGUUCUCUGUAGCUCUACUGCUGCUGCUGGCCGCUGGAUGCUGUGUGAAGUGUGAACAGUUUACACAGCCGGCCUCUGUGACUGUGCAGCCCGGUCAACGUCUGACCAUCACCUGUCAGGUGUCGUAUAGUCUUGGUAGCUACUACACAGCAUGGUUCAGACACCCUGCAGGAAAAGUACUGGAAUGGAUUGGAAGCAAAUAUACUGGAAAUUCUUACUACAAAGAUUCACUGAAGAACAAGUUUAGUAUCGACUUAGAUGCUUCCAGUAAAACAGUGACUCUAAACGGACAGAAUGUGCAGCCUGAAGACACGGCUGUGUAUUACUGUGCAAGAUACCCACAGUAA